GUCCCUAUCUACCGUGGGCGUUGGAAAUUUGAGAGGAUCUGCUCCUAGUACGAGAGGACCAGAGUGGACGAACCUCUGGUGUUUCGGUUGUGACGCCAGUCGCAUUGCCGAGUAGCUAUGUUCGGAUGGGAUAACCGCUGAAAGCAUCUAAGCGGGAAGCCCACCUUAAGAUUAGAUUUCCCUAAAGAGCCGUUGUAGACUACGACGUUGAUAGGUUGGGUGUGGAAGCACAGCGAUGUGUGUAGCUAACCAAUACUAAUUGCUCGUUUGGCUUGACUAUACAACGCCUAA
rnacentral:rRNA from 1 species